rnacentral:misc_RNA from 1 species
GAUGAAGAACGCAGCGAAAUGCGAUAAGUAGUGUGAAUUGCAGAAUUCAGUGAAUCAUCGAAUCUUUGAACGCACAUUGCGCCCCCUGGCAUUCCGGGGGGCAUGCCUGUCCGAGCGUCAUUUCUGCCCUCCAGCGCGGCUGGGUGUUGGGCGCUGUCCCCCCGGGGACACGCCCCAAAGGCAGUGGCGGCGCCGCGUCGGGUCCUCGAGCGUAUGGGGCUUUGUCACCCGCUCGGGACGGACUCGUCGGCGCUGGUCUUCCUCCAGGCGACCCUUCGGGGCUCGUCUUCCUUCGGUUGACCUCGGAUCAGGUAGGGUUACCCGCUGAACUUAAGCAUAUCAAUAAGCGGAGGA